rnacentral:rRNA from 1 species
UACGGAGGAUGCAAGCGUUAUCCGGAUUUAUUGGGUUUAAAGGGUGCGUAGGCGGGGCAGCAAGUCAGUGGUGAAAUCUUUCGGCUUAACUGAAAAAUUACCAUUGAAACUGUUGUCCUUGAGUAUAUUUGGAGUGGGCGGAAUGUGUCAUGUAGCGGUGAAAUGCUUAGAUAUGACACAGAACACCAAUCGCGAAGGCAGCUCACUAAACUAUAACUGACGCUGAAGCACGAAAGCGUGGGGAUCAAACAGG